rnacentral:rRNA from 1 species
CCCNUCCUNCUUCCUCCCNCCNGAAGGCGCCGGGGAGGAGGCGAGUGUGACCAACCGCACUCACUCGCACGCGGUCUAUGCGGCCGGAAGGUUGUGGGCGAAAGGGAAUCCGGUUCUUAUUCCGGAACCUCCACCCGGAGACGGUGUUACCCCUCGCCUAAAGGUACUCCUGGCGACAGGAGGAAACCUGCUGCUGCCGGCCGCGGUCCAGGGAAGAGUUUUCUUUCUGCUUAAGAGGU